rnacentral:rRNA from 1 species
UACGUAGGUGGCAAGCGUUGUCCGGAAUUACUGGGCGUAAAGAAUGCGUAGGCGGCUUUUUAAGUGGGAUGUGAAAUCCCUGGGCUCAACCCAGGAACUGCAUUCCAAACUGGAAAGCUAGAGUGCGGGAGAGGAAAUUGGUAUUCCCAGUGUAGCGGUGAAAUGCGUAGAGAUUGGGAGGAACACCAGUAGCGAAGGCGAAUUUCUGGAACGUAACUGACGCUGAGGCAUGAAAGCGUGGGGAGCAAACAGG